rnacentral:lncRNA from 1 species
GGCCUCCCCGUUCACCUCCCAGAGGCCGCCACUUUCUUCAGGGCUAUCAGAUGAAGGCAGCAACGAAAACACCACAAGACCAACUUCAGGCUGGAGCUGAUGAUGCCACACAGCAAAUCAGCGAGAAAAAAGAAAAUAGACUCUACUUAGAAAUGAAACUCAACUAAAGGUAAAAGAUGUCAGGAACAUCUCCAAGAAAGCCAGAGUCAGCCUCUAAACUUUGCAUCAAGAACGCAAUGGCUUCCCUGAGGGCCCAGGGACGCUUGGCAGCUGUGAGGCAGCCCCUUCUCUGCUGUCGAGGAACUGGACACUUCUCCUAUCCCUUCCCACAAGGUAUAAUAUUAGGCAGAAACCCAAUAUAAAAAGAAAAGCAGAGUUGUUGUAGAUUCAUCGAGGGCUGGCGACCUGGUUCCAAUGAGCCAUCUCCCCGUUCCGACAGGGGCUUCCUGGAGCUCCUGCAACCCCAGGCAUUAGUUCCAGUGCAGUUCUAGGAUCAGAUCAAUUCACUCGACAACAAGAGAAACAAAUGGAGAUUCCUACACAAAGACUUUCAAGCACAAAGAAAUCCUGCUGCCUGUAAAGUGGAGCUGCCUCAGCUCUUGAUGAACGACAGAAAAUACCACCUACUGCCAGACCUCAACGCCUCACAAAACUCUCACCCACCUACUGCUUUUAGCUCACAUUCCAGGAAUUCAGAUGAAGUGAAGUGCUCUCAUGGGGACCAGGCAUGGUUAUUCCAGUCCACUGCCCUGCAAGCCUCAAGGGAAGCCAACUGCCCUUCAGCAAGUCACACCUGCCUUGGUGGAGG